CCCACCUGGUGUCUCCUGGGAUGUGAGGAGGGAAGCAGUGGUCCCGUCGGACGGGCCUGUGUGGCUGCGACCGGCUCCUGCGCUGCAUACCUAGUUGUGUUGUCAGCCAAAGCCCACCAAGUUCAUCCUGUAAAGUCACACGCCUGAAGAAACAACCAAAAUUCCAUUACUUAAAGACAUGAUAUACAGAACAUAUUGAUCUACAAAAGACCCA
rnacentral:lncRNA from 1 species